rnacentral:rRNA from 1 species
GAUGAACGCUGGCGGCGUGCCUAAUACAUGCAAGUCGAACGGACAGACCAUGAGCUUGCGCUUAUGACGUUAGCGGCGAGCGGGAGGGUAACAAGUGGAUCACCUACCUAUGAGACCGGGAUGACAUCGUGAAACAGGCGCUAAUCCCGCAGAAUAUAUUGAGCGGCAGGGUGCAAUAGUGAAAGACGGUUUUUCUGUCACUUAUAGAUGAAUCCGCGCCGCAUUAGCUAGUUGGUAAGGUCACGGCCUACCAAGGCAACGAUGCGUAGCCGACGUGAGAGGGGGAUCGGCCACCCUGGAACGGAGACACGGACCAGACUCCUGCGGGACGGCGCAGUAGGGAAUCUGCGGCAAUAGGCGAAAGCCUGACGGAGCGACGCCGCGUGAGAUACGAAGGCGUUGCGUGCGGAAAACCCUGUUAUUGGGGAAGAACAACUGUCUAAGUAAAUAUGGAGGUCGUGACGGUACCUGAAGAGAAAGCCCCGGCUAACUACGUG